UGGGGAAUAUUGCACAAUGGGCGCAAGCCUGAUGCAGCCAUGCCGCGUGUGUGAAGAAGGCCUUCGGGUUGUAAAGCACUUUCAGCGGGGAGGAAGGCGUUAAGGUUAAUAACCUUGGCGAUUGACGUUACCCGCAGAAGAAGCACCGGCUAACUACGUGCCAGCAGCCGCGGUAAUACGUAGGUGGCAAGCGUUGUCCGGAUUUAUUGGGCGUAAAGCGAGCGCAGGCGGUUUCUUAAGUCUGAUGUGAAAGCCCCCGGCUCAACCGGGGAGGGUCAUUGGAAACUGGGAGACUUGAGUGCAGAAGAGGAGAGUGGGAUUCCAUGUGUAGCGGUGAAAUGCGUGGAUAUAUGGAGGAACACCAGUGGCGAAGGCGGCUCUCUGGUCUGUAACUGACGCUGAGGCUCGAAAGCGUGGGGGGCAAACAGG
rnacentral:rRNA from 1 species